rnacentral:piRNA from 1 species
CUGAGAUGAGAGAUCCUUU